ensembl:lncRNA TEC
UAAAGUGUUAAAGUUCCUUAACUCCAUUCAGCCCUGCGCCAGGAUCGUUAGCUAUUGAUCUGGGCCCCUCCGGCACUUAACUCCAGCCAGCAUAUUGGCAAUUCAAUUAGCACCAGUCAAUGCUGCGUGUUCCUGGCUCCUGCUGCCCAUGCCCUCGCCCUUGCCCACCACUGGCUCUGCAAAGCCCGACGCCCAUGCCCACCUCUGGCAGCCCCUUGCAGGCUCUUCUCCUGUACCCUCUGGAUCAAUGGUGCCUGGCUGGCUGUUCCCGGCCUCUGCUGGUACAACCUCAGCUGCCUAAGGGUGACUCUAAGCCCAGCCUUAGGGCUGAAGACCUCCUAGGAGACAGGAAGAGGCUGGGAAGCUUGUCAGGGGCCUCUUCCCAUCCCUGCUGCCUUUGGAUCAUGCCCACAGCUCCUAUCUCCUUCCAAGAAGCCCUGGCCCAGCACAAAACAGGUUCUCUCUCCUUCCUACCCAGCUCCAGCCUGCCACCCUCCAGCAUUACCAGGACACUAGUCACUACUCAGAAUCACUGGGUGGUUCCUCUUCACCCUCUUCCUGUUCUAUGUCAUCCACCCAGCAAAGCCCCUGCCCUUCUUUGCCCCUCCACUCAAGGUAGCCUCCACAGUGCCUGACACGCUCAUUCUGUCUUAUCCCUUCGCAGCUUCUUCCCAUUUAGUAUAGGUGGCCUACAGGCCCUCUUCGCCUUCCUUGUAUCUCUAACUCCGCAGCCCCCCUGCUCCCCACAUCCUGCUGCCCUCCCUGCCCAGCUCUUAUUCUCCAGUCCCUUCUUCCUCACCGGGAGUCCGGAGCUGCCCGUGGCUGAAGCUCAGGAUGCUCUGAAGAGCUGCGAGUCCUUCCUCAGUGGUUGGGCCAUUCUGUAGCAGCUGCAGACGCCUCUGGGCCUGGGCAUCGCGGUGGGCAGGUGUGCGCAGGUGUUGCAGCACAGCCAAGCGGGAGGGUGUCUCCCACGCACACAACAGGCAGUGGUAUAGCCCCAGCUCUGCCCCUGCCUCCGCUCCCUCCAUGUCCAGCAGAAACUAGAACCAUGGGAAGAGGCUGGCUCAGGCCCAGAAGGGACAUGCCAGACCUCAGGGGACUUUUUUUUUUUUUCUAGAGAGAGUCUUGCCCUGUUGCCCAGGCUGGAGUGCAGUGGCAUGAUCUCUACUCACUGAAGCCUCUACCUCCUGGGUUCAGUGAUUCUCAUGCCUCAGCCUCCCGAGUAGCUGGGAUUACAGGCAUGCGCACCACACCUGGCUAAUUUUUGUAUUUUUAGUACAGAUGGGGUUUCACCAUGUUGGCCAGGCUGGUCUCGAACUCCUGACUUCAAGUGAUCCUCCCGCCUCGGCCUCCCAAAGUGCCGGGACUACAGGCGUGAGCCACCGCACCUAGCCUCAGGGGACUUCUUUGCCUUCCCUAAGGGAGACUGACUAGCAGCAGCCCCCUCCCCACCCCUCGCUUCCUGCUCCUGAAACCCCCCCUUUCCCUCCUAUGGCCACCUAAGUAUUAUUGCUUGCUCUCCCCAACCCUUUCUCUUUCUCCUACCACUCCUGGACUCCCUCCCAGCAUGCAAAUGGAGUCUGGUUCCAUCCUCUUGAACCUCUGGUGACAUGACAAACUGAGCUGAUACCACCCCUCCCUCCAGGGCCAAACACCAGAAGAGCUGAAUAAAGUCUGUUUCACUUG